AACGAACGCUGGCGGCAUGCCUAACACAUGCAAGUCGAACGAGACCUUCGGGUCUAGUGGCGCACGGGUGCGUAACGCGUGGGAACCUGCCCUUAGGUUCGGAAUAACUCCCCGAAAGGGGUGCUAAUACCGGAUAAUGUCUUCGGACCAAAGAUUUAUCGCCUUUGGAUGGGCCCGCGUUGGAUUAGCUAGUUGGUAGGGUAAAAGCCUACCAAGGCGACGAUCCAUAGCUGGUCUGAGAGGAAGAUCAGCCACACUGGGACUGAGACACGGCCCAGACUCCUACGGGAGGCAGCAGUGGAGAAUAUUGGACAAUGGGCGAAAGCCUGAUCCAGCAAUGCCGCGUGAGUGAUGAAGGCAUUAGGGUUGUAAAGCUCUUUUACCCGGGAUGAUAAUGACAGUACCGGGAGAAUAAGCUCCGGCUAACUCCGUG
rnacentral:rRNA from 1 species